CGGCACAGGUUGGGGUGGGUGCUGAGUCCUGUCUGGGGAGGGAGUAGACACCAGAGGCGACAACAAUGCAGCCAGGUGCCGCGGCCCCCGGCGCGAGGCGGCCUCCAGGGAGCGCCGGUUCCAUCCCUGGUUGGGGAACGAAGAUCGUGAAUGCCUUGCAGUGCAGCCAACAACAACAACAAAAAAUCAUAUGGAAUCUCAAGGGAUCCCACAUCGCCGUUACCAUCCUGAAAAAGAAGAAUAAACUUAAGGACUCACAUUCCCUGAUUUCAAAUUUUACCAUAAAGCUACCUAAAUAAAACAGUGUGAUACUGGUAUCCACACAGAAGCAUAGACCAA